GCUACUGGAGUUCCGAGGAGUGCAGAAUGAGAGCAGUACCUGAUGAUGAUGGCAGGAUCAUUAUCAGGAAUCUGGCAAGAACUGCAGUGUAGAGAUGCAAAGAUACCAGUGGAAAGGUUGAAAAUAUCCAGAAGUCUCCUCACAAAGCCUGGUGAUGGCAGCAGCAGCAGCAGCAGCAUAGAAAGUAGAUAAAAAACAGGAGCAAGUGAACAGCAAGGAAUCAACAGACAUCUGAUGUCUUGACCUGCUGCUGCCGCUGAAACAUGUGGUGAGCUAUGGAGGGCAUCUGGCCAGGCAGGAUGCUGGUUCAACUGGUGCUGAAAAAUCCAGGAGACCAUUGAAUCUGCAGGAAGAGACCAGAGUACAUAUUAGAGUUUAAGAAUCUUAAACUAUAAAGCAGCUUUAAGAUUCAUUGAAUUCCUGACAAAAUUAACAGGAAGCUUCCUUCACCAACCUUGAUAUCCUUGAAUUUUACAAUAUGUUGCUGUCCAGAAAUACUUUAAACAAACCCUACAUCUUCUCUAUACUAAGUAAAACUUUAUAUGCACUUUAAUAUUACAUCAACACCAACAAACCUCAGCACCACACCAACAUGUCACAUUCCCCAUUUCUUCCUCCUUAUGAUCAAUCUCUUCCACUUUA